UACGUAGGUGACAAGCGUUGUCCGGAUUUACUGGGCGUAAAGAGCGCGCAGGCGGUCGUUCAAGUCGAGUGUGAAAGCCCCCGGCUCAACUGGGGAGGGUCACUCGAUACUGAUCGACUCGAAGGCAGGAGAGGGAAGUGGAAUUCCCGGUGUAGUGGUGAAAUGCGUAGAUAUCGGGAGGAACACCAGUGGCGCAGGCGGCGUCCUGGACCGGCACUGACGCUGAGGAGCGAAAGCGUGGGGAGCGAUCCGG
rnacentral:rRNA from 1 species